rnacentral:rRNA from 1 species
AUUGAACGCUGGCGGCAGGCCUAACACAUGCAAGUCGAGCGAGCGGCGGACGGGUGAGUAAUGUAUGGGGACUGCCCGAUAGAGGGGGAUAACUACUGGAAACGGUAGCUAAUACCGCAUACUAUCGGAUAACCCAUAUGGGAUUAGCUAGUAGGUGAGGGAAUGGCUCACCUAGGCCACGAUCCCUAGCUGGUCUGAGAGGUUGAACAGCCACACUGGAACUGAGACAGGGCCCAGACUCCUACGGAGGCAGCAGUGGGGAAUAUUGCACAAUGGGCGCAAGCCUGAUGCAGCCAUGCCGCGUGUAUGAAGAAGGCCCUAGGGUUGUAAAGUACUUUCAGUCGGGAGGCGUUACCGACAGAAGAAGCACCGGCUAACUCCGUGCCAGCAGCCGCGGUAAUUC